UACAUGGGGUGCAACCGUUGCUCGGAAUUAUUGGGCGUAAAGCGCACGUAGGCGGUUUGUUAAGUCUGAUGUGAAAGCCCUGGGCUCAACCCAGGAAGUGCAUUGGAUACUGGGAGACUUGAAUACGGGAGAGGGUAGUGGAAUUCCUAGUGUAGGAGUGAAAUCCGUAGAUAUUAGGAGGAACACCGGUGGCGAAGGCGGCUACCUGGACCGAUAUUGACGCUGAGACGCGAAAGCGUGGGGAGCAAACAGG
rnacentral:rRNA from 1 species